rnacentral:rRNA from 1 species
GAUCCUGGCUCAGGAUAAACGCUGGCGGCGCACAUAAGACAUGCAAGUCGAACGGAAGUCGUUAUAAAAAGGAUUGAAGAUUUAUCUGAUUGAGAUUUUAUAACAAUGGCUUUAGUGGCGGACUGGUGAGUAACACGUAAGCAACCUGCCUGUUAGAGGGGAACAACAGUUAGAAAUGACUGCUAAUACCGCAUAUGCCAUAGUAAGGACAUCCUUACAGUGGGAAAGGAGAAAUCCGCUAACAG